rnacentral:rRNA from 1 species
UACAGAGGGUGCGAGCGUUAAUCGGAAUUACUGGGCGUAAAGCGCGCGUAGGCGGCUUUGCAAGUCGGGUGUGAAAUCCCCAGGCUUAACCUGGGAACUGCAUUCGAGACUGCAUUGCUAGAGUAUGGGAGAGGGAAGUGGAAUUUCAGGUGUAGCGGUGAAAUGCGUAGAUAUCUGAAGGAACAUCAGUGGCGAAAGCGACUUCCUGGACCAAUACUGACGCUCAUGUGCGAAAGCGUGGGGGAGCAAACAGG